AGGCCAGGUCGGCUUUGACACGUUGAGCAGGCCCCUUAGCCACUUGUCCCAGGUUUGAAACUUAAAGCCACUGAGUUCUGCUGCCCUCCACAUUCGGUGGGUGCUGGUUCCAGAUCUCACCAGUUUUCAGAGUUUUCUGUAACUGAGGAUACCAACAAACCAAAGAAACUCAUUCUAGCUGAACCUGAAGAUGCCUGGAUAGUCAGGAGGACACAGUUGUGUUUCUUUGCCAAAAACCGAGACUCGAUGGCAGUUAUUGAUCAGCAAUCCAGUCUGGAAAUGCACCACGUUUUCUUUAUGCACUCAUCUCGUAAGGGACAAUUGAAUAUUUCUAAAUUCUGAACAUUAUGAGAGCUUCAGUGAACACGGUGGAGAAAGGGUCUCUAUACUAGGAUGAAUCAGCAUGAGGAUACAUGCCCUGGAGUUGUAUCUUGAGGAAGCUAAAUUUGUGAGCACAGGGAUGAAGCAAGGAUAUUUUUCAUCAUGAAGGGGGAUCCACAGAGCACGACACACUGUCUACAUCAAGAGCACAGUUUCCUGUGCAGCUCUGGCUGGCUGUGAACUGAUGGUGAAGCCUACGCUGCAUGAGACUUGCAGAAAACCACUGUUGCCUUACACUUGUGCUGUUACAGGAGGAAGAACCACACACGACUCAGGACGGCCUUCAGCAUCUUUAGGUAUCUGGAUC
rnacentral:sRNA from 1 species